GUCCAUGGCCAUACUACCAUGAAUGAGCCCGAUCUCAACUGAUCUCAGAAGCCAAGCAGAGUUGGGCCUGGUUAGUACUUGGAUGGAGGUGUUAUAAGUAAUGUGGAUU
rnacentral:rRNA from 1 species